GCCUGGGUGGCUCAGUUGGUUAAGCAUCUGACUUCAGCUCAGGUCAUGAUCUCAUGGUUUGUGAGUUUGAGCCCCAUGUCAGGCU
rnacentral:tRNA from 1 species